rnacentral:misc_RNA from 1 species
AUAAGAGACAGGUGAAUCAUCGAAUCUUUGAACGCACAUUGCGCCCCUUGGUAUUCCAUGGGGCAUGCCUGUUCGAGCGUCAUUUGUACCUUCAAGCUUUGCUUGGUGUUGGGCGUUUGUCCCCUGCUUUUGCGGUGGACUCGCCUUAAAAUAAUUGGCAGCCAGUGUUUUGGUAUUGAAGCGCAGCACAAGUCGCGAUUCUAACCUUGUACACUGGCGUCCACAAGCCUUUUUUACAAUCUUUUGACCUCGGAUCAGGUAGGGAUACCCGCUGAACUUAAGCAUAUCAAUAAGCGGAGG